UAGAAGGCCAGCUAUGUCACAAUGCCAGUGUCAUUCACCUAACUUCAUCUCAUCAAAUUUUAGGCAUUUUAUCUCACAUUAUCACAAAAAGAAGGUUCCAGUAUUUGGUCCUUGGAAUGUAGCAAAGAAAGAACAUUUAGAGGCUACUGAUUCCAGGAAGUGGUGGUCCCCCAAACCACAGCAUUUGAGUCAACUGUAUUUUUUCUACAAAACUGGAUAAGAUAUAUGUGUCAUUUUAAGCAUUUAGGAAGUAAAGUCUAAGAAGUUGUGUAUGUGUCACUGUGUUUAAAGAAGUCCAUGUGAAAAAUUCAUAUCUAAUGACUUUCAUGGGGCCUCAAAAUCUCUAGGAAUACACAUCUGUAACUGCUCAGACAUGAUAUGGAUAUACUUAAAGUCUGAAUAAGUCUGCGUCACCUGCUCGGCCUCCGGAGCUGGCCGCGCACACGGAGGAAGCCCAGCCGAGGCACAGUCAGGACUGGGGCGGGAGGGUGCUCCGCAAACAAUCUCUGUUACUAACAUUCUGGAAGGCUGCUGACAGGUUUUCCUUUUUUUUUUUUUUUUUUUUUUUUUUUUUGCCCUACCACCCUCCCUUUUUAAUAAUUGUAUAUAAUCAGUAGUUUUGUUUUACCGGCUUCAUCUUCUAAACUGGUGGGCCCUGUAGUUCAUUCCCGUUGUUAGACUUUUGCCCCUUACAAGUGUACCCAACCUGCAAUAAACCCUUCUUGAGAAAAAAAAAAAAAAAAAAUCUGAAAAAAUAAAGAAAGAGUAGGAGAGAAAGAAAAGUAGAGAAAGGAAAAGACACAUGAGCAUGAUCCUUUGAGUCAGGAAGAGACAGAGACUACUUGCAGGAAUUAUUUGGACCUCCAGAAAGUCCUUCACAGGUGGAGGGUAGAAUCUCCAAGCAGAUCUGUCACUCUUGGGUUGACAUAACUACUGCUGUCAUCCUCUCCUUUGGGUCUAGUUUAACCAGGGGGCAUUAAUAGUCAAACAGUAGUCCCUUCAUCUUAGUGUUCGUGAGACCUCUCUUCCUGCCAUGUUAGCAUUUUGGUCUGUGAUAUUUCCCACUGAUAUAUAAAGAACAUAUUAUAAUAAAAUAAUAACAACAAAAGUUAUUUAAGCAAAAACAUUUCUAUAGUUUAGGGUGAGGAGGAAAUGGUCAGCAAAGAUCAAAGUAAAGGGUGUUUUUCCCACUCAAAUACUCUUAUACUUGAUUUUUCUAAUUUCAUUGUGUAUGUGACCUAGCUGUAUUUCGCUUUUCGUUUUUGUAUGUCCAUGAGCUUAACUCCUAUGUACUUUAAAACAUGUUUUUAAAAAUGGCUUGGUUUAUGAGAGUUUUAUUCCUUACAACAAAAAUUUCCCUAAUUGAACCAUCUCAAGAUUCAUAAGUUUCAACCUCAGAAAAUUUUGUUAUUGGAAAAGUAAUUUGAUGUUUAAGAAUUCCUGAACAAGAGUAAUAACAAUAUCUUACAUUCACAUGGCAUUUUAAAUUUUUAAAAAUGGAUUUUUAAAAACCAUUGUCCAUUAUUGACAAACACAAUUGGUGGCUAACUUCGUAAAUAAAGUUUUAGCAUUUUGGACUAUAGGCAGUCGAAGAGGACGAAUGGCUUAGAAGUUCAGACCCAUUAUUUAGAGUUGGGGAAGCUUAAAUAUCAAAAUGUGACCAUAUACCCUACAUAAAAGGUUGAAGCAGUGGAAACACUACAAUACAGUACAAAUGUCACUAGCCCAUACUACAUUAGCCCACAUGACACUUUAAAUAAAUCACCAUGAGUGGAUGUUGUUUUAGUGAUUUGAGUUACUAGAGAACGCUAGAUUAUUUGGUUUGGGGUACAUUCUAGAAGCAAUGACUAUGGAAAGAACUGGAUCCAUUUCUAGAACUGAAGCAGGACAGCAAGGUUCUUGUCUCACGGACUUGAAAAAUGAAUCUCAUGGUCAAAGGAAGGUGAGUAAAACAAUAGAGUUUUAUUAAUUAUUAUAAUAAUUAAUUAUUAUUAUUAUUAGAAAAAGCUCUCAGGAGUGAGAGGGGUCCCAACCAUAUUGCCAAUGAGGGCUUUUCAUCUCUGGCCUUUUAUUAGGAUUUUACCAGGAAACUUGCCAGUGGUUAGGUCAGUGGCCUGGAACUAGACAGGACACUACUACAUUGUGUGAGAGUCUUUGUCUCUGUGACCUCUGGGAUCUUUAAGUAUAUAUUGCUAAAUCUGGUUAAUCCUUAUAGUGAGCUUUUCCUCUGAGGCCUGAUCAAUUUUUGUGCUUUUUUUUUUUUUUAAUUUUCUGUGUUAUAAUGUAUUUUUUUUUUUAAAAAAAGAUUUUAUUUAUUGAUGAGAAACACAGAGAGAGAG